rnacentral:tmRNA from 1 species
CCCCUUUCACUUGGGCGUCGGACUACCUAUUAUCUAGGCGUCGGGCAACCGACUAUGGAGAUAAACCUUUCGUGGAAUAAGCGUUGCGGACCCGGGGGCGGUACCCGGCGCCUCCACCAGUUCCAGAUGCGCCCCGGCUGCAUGGCCGAUGGCGCAUCCCUCUGGGGGCGAAAUAGGAUCGACGUGCGUAGUAAAGACGUGAGUUUCUCCCGGCAUGGUUCCGCCGUUAUCGGGCCAAGCAUGUAGUUGCGAAUGACAACUCCAAGCAGGUUGCUCUCGCCGCUUAAUUGCGGUUUGGGUAAUCACCCUUAAGUCCUUAUCUUGCUAAGGUAAGGCGCGGUUCGGGGGGCACCGGGCAACAGAAGCCCCCCACU